ACACAAUGAUGCUCCAAUCUGUCAUUCUGCUUUCUGCCUUUGCAUAUGCAACACAUGGAAAUGAAAUUAAACCAACCAAAACAGAGGAGUUCGCUGUUGAGGGUUCAAAUGUUAAAUUAUCCUGCAGUUAUUCAUCUGCAAAUACUCUUCACUGGUACCGUCAGUAUCCCGGAUCAGCUCCUGAAUUCCUUGUGCUCAUCUCAGACGGUACAAAACAAGCUCGGGAGUCUUAUGUAGAUUCCAGAUUCACUGCCAAAGUCACUAAAGUCAAAGAAAACUCUGUGGAUCUGGAGAUCUCCUCUGCUGCAGUAUCAGACUCUGCUCUGUAUUACUGUGCUCUGGAGCCCACAGUCACAGGAAACACUGUAACACUGUACAAAAACCUGACACAGAUGAAAAGCAUCAUCUCAACAGAGAGCAGGAAGUUUCUGAGUGACUUUAUGACUCAGUUCCUCCUGAGUAACUGCAGAAACUCAGAGCAUCAACACAACUGA